UCUAUCUCUAUAUUUCGUCAGAAAACCUUUGCUAUUAGGGCUCCUAUCUGUCUCCAGAAGGGCCCUACUACCGGGCACCCCCACCACAUAUGGAUGAAGGUCCCCUUUGUCCUGCACAACCUCCAACAGAGGUCGCUUGGGGUGUUGCCCAUGCGGUGUAGUUGUAGUGGUGUCACGUACCAAUGGAACAUCAUCUUAUAAGAUUGUUCUUGUAGGGUGGUGCAUAUUGACACUGCAGUAUUGGCUUCCCAUAUCUCCUGCCAGUCUGCGCCCUCUAAUGUCUCUCCCAGGUCCGCCUCCCAUCUCUCUGUGUAAGUCAGUGUGCCCCAUUCGGUUGUAGUGGAAGUUAAGUGUGAG